rnacentral:rRNA from 1 species
CCAAUAGCGUAUAUUAAAGUUGUUGCAGUUAAAAAGCUCGUAGUUGAAUUUCGGGGUUAGUAGAUUGGUCGUGCCACGGGUAUGUACUGGUCUCACUGAUUCCUCCUUCCUGAUGAACCGUAAUGCCAUUAAGUUGGUGUUGCGGGGAGACUGGACUGUUACUUUGAAAAAAUUAGAGUGUUUAAAGCAGGCUAACGCGUUAAUAAAUUAGCAUGGAAUAAUGAAAUAGGACGUUCGAGCCUAUUUUGUUGGUUUCUAGGAUUGACGUAAUGAUUAAUAGGGAUAGUUGGGGGCAUUAGUAUUCAAUUGUCAGAGGUGAAAUUCUUGGAUUUAUUGAAGACUAACUACUGCGAAAGCAUUUGCCAAGGAUGUUUUCAUUAAUCAAGAACGAAAGUUAGGGGAUCGAAGACGAUCAGAUACCGUCGUAGUCUUAACCAUAAACUAUGCCGACUAGGGAUCGGAUGAUGUUAAUUUUUUAAUGACUCAUUCGGCGCCUUACG